rnacentral:rRNA from 1 species
GGCCGCGAAUUCGCCCUUAGAGUUUGAUCCUGGCUCAGAUUGCUUAAACUGGGCAGGCCUAACACAUGCAAGUCGAGCGGCAGCACGGGUACUUGUACCUGGUGGCGAGCGGCGGACGGGUGAGUAAUGCCUAGGAAUCUGCCUGGUAGUGGGGGAUAACGCUCGGAAACGGACGCUAAUACCGCAUACGUCCUACGGGAGAAAGCAGGGGACCUUCGGGCCUUGCGCUAUCAGAUGAGCCUAGGUCGGAUUAGCUAGUUGGUGAGGUAAUGGCUCACCAAGGCGACGAUCCGUAACUGGUCUGAGAGGAUGAUCAGUCACACUGGAACUGAGACACGGUCCAGACUCCUACGGGAGGCAGCAGUGGGGAAUAUUGGACAAUGGGCGAAAGCCUGAUCCAGCCAUGCCGCGUGUGUGAAGAAGGUCUUCGGAUUGUAAAGCACUUUAAGUUGGGAGGAAGGGCAGUUACCUAAUACGUAAUUGUUUUGACGUUACCGACAGAAUAAGCACCGGCUAACUCUGUGCCAGCAGCCGCGGUAAUACAGAGGGUGCAAGCGUUAAUCGGAAUUACUGGGCGUAAAGCGCGCGUAGGUGGUUCGUUAAGUUGGAUGUGAAAUCCCCGGGCUCAACCUGGGAACUGCAUUCAAAACUGACGAGCUAGAGUAUGGUAGAGGGUGGUGGAAUUUCCUGUGUAGCGGUGAAAUGCGUAGAUAUAGGAAGGAACACCAGUGGCGAAGGCGACCACCUGGACUGAUACUGACACUGAGGUGCGAAAGCGUGGGGAGCAAACAGGAUUAGAU